CAUGCAGAUGUGCCCCUGGUCUGGCUGGGAGGCGGGCGGUUCUAUGCAGACGAGGGGGCGGUGCCUGCAUGUUGAUAAGCUGGGCUGGCUGCCGACGCGGCUGCGAGCCCCAGUAGGUCCCGCUGCGGUUCCGGCUAAAGUGGCAUCCCUCUCCCGCCACCCUUUGUCCCUGGGUCCCUACCUUCUGAGGAUCGCCCUUGAUCUUACCCUCAUCCAUUUCCUACUCCCUGAACAGCUCCCCCCCGUAUCUGAAUAUCUCCACUCCUGGAGCCCCCAGCGUUUCUCCCUUCCCGUCGCAAACCCCACGACCUCCAGCAGCCCGCCCCCGCGGGCCCGAUCUGCCAGGCGGCUCCCGCCGCAGCCUCCUCAGCCUUCCCGCUCUCCCAGGGAUCGCCCUAUUACAACCCCAGGUGUCCGCGCUGGGGUGUCCCUGCUUCUUCCUCCUGUCCCCUCAGAGCCCCCUCCCUCGCCCUGGCCAGCCGGCA
rnacentral:lncRNA from 1 species